rnacentral:rRNA from 1 species
AUUGAACGCUGGCGGCAGGCCUAACACAUGCAAGUCGAGCGGAUGAAGGGAGCUUGCUCCUGGAUUCAGCGGCGGACGGGUGAGUAAUGCCUAGGAAUCUGCCUGGUAGUGGGGGAUAACGUCCGGAAACGGGCGCUAAUACCGCAUACGUCCUGAGGGAGAAAGUGGGGGAUCUUCUGACCUCACGCUAUCAGAUGAGCCUAGGUCGGAUUAGCUAGUUGGUGGGGUAAAGGCCUACCAAGGCGACGAUCCGUAACUGGUCUGAGAGGAUGAUCAGUCACACUGGAACUGAGACACGGUCCAGACUCCUACGGGAGGCAGCAGUGGGGAAUAUUGGACAAAGGGCGAAAGCCUGAUCCAGCCAUGCCGCGUGUGUGAAGAAGGUCUUCGGAUUGUAAAGCACUUUAAGUUGGGAGGAAGGGCAGUAAGUUAAUACCUUGCUGUUUUGACGUUACCAACAGAAUAAGCACCGGCUAACUUCGUG